ACUCAAAAGGGAAUUGACGGGGGCCCGCACAAGCGGUGGAGUAUGUGGUUUAAUUCGAUGCAACGCGAAGAACCUUACCUGGCCUUGACAUGUCGAGAACUUUCCAGAGAUGGAUUGGUGCCUUCGGGAACUCGAACACAGGUGCUGCAUGGCUGUCGUCGGCUCGUGUCGUGAGAUGUUGGGUUAAGUCCCGCAACGAGCGCAACCCUUGUCCUUAGUUGCCAGCACGUAAUGGUGGGAACUCUAAGGAGACCGCCGGUGACCAGCCGGAGGAAGGUGGGGAUGGCGUCAAGUCAUCAUGGCCCUUACGGCCAGGGCUACACACGUACUACAAUGGUAGGGACAGAGGGCUGCAAGCCGGCGACGGUAAGCCAAUCCCAGAAACCCUAUCUCAGUCCGGAUUGGAGUCUGCAACUCGACUCCAUGAAGUCGGAAUCGCUAGUAAUCGCAGAUCAGCAUUGCUGCGGUGAAUACGUUCCCGGGCCUUGUACACACCGCCCGUCACACCAUGGGAGUUUGUCGCACCAGAAGCAGGUAGCUUAACCUUCGGGAGGGCGCUUGCCACGGUGUGGCUGAUGACUGGGGUGAAGUCGUAACAAG
rnacentral:rRNA from 1 species